rnacentral:rRNA from 1 species
CCUACGGGAGGCAGCAGUGAGGAAUAUUGGUCAAUGGGCGGGAGCCUGAACCAGCCAAGUCGCGUGAGGGAAGACGGUCCUAUGGAUUGUAAACUUCUUUUAUAUGGGAAUAAAAUGUUCCACGUGUGGGAUUUUGUAUGUACCAUAUGAAUAAGGAUCGGCUAACUCCGUGCCAGCAGCCGCGGUAAUACGGAGGAUCCGAGCGUUAUCCGGAUUUAUUGGGUUUAAAGGGAGCGUAGGUGGAUUGUUAAGUCAGUUGUGAAAGUUUGCGGCUCAACCGUAAAAUUGCAGUUGAAACUGGCAGUCUUGAGUACAGUAGAGGUGGGCGGAAUUCGUGGUGUAGCGGUGAAAUGCUUAGAUAUCACGAAGAACUCCGAUUGCGAAGGCAGCUCACUGGACUGCAACUGACACUGAGGCUCGAAAGUGUGGGUAUCAAACAGGAUUAGAUACCCCUGUAGUC